rnacentral:rRNA from 1 species
GACGAACGCUGGCGGCGUGCCUAAUACAUGCAAGUCGAACGCAGUGGGGAGGGGUGCGUAACACGUGGGUAACCUCCCAUCAGAGGGGAUAACACUUGGAAACAGGUGCUAAACUGAUACUGAUGGAUGGACCCGCGGUGCAUUAGCUGGGGGGGGAGGUAACGGCUCACCAGGGCGACGAUGCAUAGCCGACCUGAGAGGGUGAUCGGCCACACUGGGACUGGGGCAGGGCCCAGGCUCCUACGGGAGGCAGCAGUAGGGAAUCGUAGGCAAUAGACGAAAGUCUGACCGAGCAACGCCGCGUGAGUGAAGGAAGUUUUCGGAGCGUAAAACUCUGUUGUUAGAGAAGCGGUAUCUAAACAGAAAGCAACGGCUAACUACGUGCCAGCCGCCGCGGUAAUUC